rnacentral:rRNA from 1 species
AUUGAACGCUGGCGGCAUGCUUUACACAUGCAAGUCGGACGGCAGCACAGAGAAGCUUGCUUCUUGGGUGGCGAGUGGCGAACGGGUGAGUAACAUAUCGGAACGUACCGAGCAGUGGGGGAUAACUAAUCGAAAGAUUAGCUAAUACCGCAUAUUUUCUGAGGAAGAAAGCAGGGGACCUUUGGGCCUUGCGCUGUUUGAGCGGCCGAUAUCUGAUUAGCUAGUUGGUGGGGUAAAGGCCUACCAAGGCGACGAUCAGUAGCGGGUCUGAGAGGAUGAUCCGCCACACUGGGACUGAGACACGGCCCAGACUCCUACGGGAGGCAGCAGUGGGGAAUUUUGGACAAUGGGCGCAAGCCUGAUCCAGCCAUGCCGCGUGUCUGAAGAAGGCCCUCGGGUUGUAAAGGACUUUUGUCAGGGAAGAAAAGGGCGGGGUUAAUACCCCUGUCUGAUGACGGUACCUGAAGAAUAAGCACCGGCUAACUACGUG